rnacentral:rRNA from 1 species
UACAGAGGUCUCAAGCGUUGUUCGGAUUCAUUGGGCGUAAAGGGUGUGUAGGUGGCGCGCUAAGUCGGGUGUGAAAUUUCGGAGCUUAACUCCGAAACUGCAUUCGAUACUGGCGUGCUUGAGGACUGGAGAGGAGACUGGAAUUCAUGGUGUAGCAGUGAAAUGCGUAGAUAUCUGGAGGAAUACCGGUGGCGAAGGCGGCAUCCUGGACCAUUACUGACGCUGAGGCGCGAAAGCUAGGGGAGCAAACGGG